UAUUGUAAAAAUAAAAAAUGUCCACUAAGAUAAAAAUAAUAAAAACUGUCCACUUUGUGGUUGAAAAGACGGAAAUGCCCCUCAGCCUAAAAUAGCCAUUUCAUCUCCUCUCCCUCCCCCCGCUCACUCUCUCUCUCUCUCUCUCUCUCUCUCUCUCUUCCUUCGAGCUCAGAACGCCGGCAAAGCGCCGCUGCCCCGGCCUCGUCGCCUCCGCCAUCUCCUGCAUCACCCCCCGCCGCGACUUUGGCCUCCCAUGUAGAAGAGCAUACCGGAGAUGUAGAGAAGUGGCGCGAAGAGGAAAAUUCCCUGGCGCUUGAGGAGGAAAGAGAGCAGGAUCCAGACGAGGCGCUGCGCGAGCGUCUUGGGCGGCGGGCGGCCCGAUUUGGAGCCGCGGUGGCAGUAGCGCGGGGAGUGACAAGUGCUUCUCCUUCACAAGUUCGGCCAUCGCCCUUGCCCUCAGAUUUUCCGGCGAUAUCAGCAAACUAUAGCAACCGCCGCCUCCCUCUGUACAUUCGCACCGUCGAUUUUGUCGCAUAAUCCGGUAAUUCAUUGUCGAGGCUAAAGCCAAUCAAAGGUAUUAUCGUCUCUGUCAUUUGAUGAGGAUCUUGGAAAACCAGAAAGAUCAGAUAUGGAUAAAAAAGCCAAAUACAAAAAAUUUAAGAAGAGAAAAGGCUCGGAUGAGCCAAAUUAGAUGCCUGACAAUGACAGGAAGAAAACUAGGAAAGAUAUGAUGUUAAAGACUAGAGAGGAGGUAAAUGCAGACUACAAAGUUGUUUCAUCUGAUCAAGAUCCCCAAGAGAGAAGAAAAAUGCAGUCACAGACGUUCUCUGCUGUAUUUCAGACAUUCUUCCGCAUCUUAAAACAUACUGUACAGCCAAAGUAAGUAUACUGUUUUAGGAUGUGAAGAUAAUCAGCAGAGUUCAAUAUGGCAUUAUCUCAGUUUUAUUGAGCUGAAUAUGCAACUUAGUCUCCUUAUCUUUAACGAAGUUUUCUGUAAACUGUACUGACCUUUACACUUCUAAGAGAGCCAAAAAGCUCUUUGUUUUUGGUGGAAAGUUUACUUUUGCUAUUUGUUAGUUGCUGUGUGGUUAAUUAUUUUCUUUUAUUUUUCUGUGCAAGUUAAAAUACUAAAUGUGCAUGUGGAUCUUGAGUCUUGUUAUACUUGUUGGCUGUGUAAACCUGUUCUGUGUACUUCUUGGCUGUGUAUCCUCAAGUGAUGAGCAGUAAUGUCUCAGCAAGUAUGAUAUUGUGGGGCAUUAGAUCAACAAAGAAACUGGAUGCAAAUGGAGUUCUAUAAAACCUGUGAUCAGAAGCCGUGCAUGGUGCAUUUGGAAGUCAUCCCCUACUCGAUCCUUGUUUGAAUGGAAUUGGAAAGUUUGCUCAUCUAAUUGACUUGGAUUUUAUGGCUGAUCUCAUGCAGUGUAUGAGAAAACUUGCUGGGAAUGGCAGUAAGUCAGGAGAUUCUUCUGAGAAUUCCUCAUGUCAGUUAACAGUGUCAGAACGUUUACGUUGCUGUAUUGCUGCUUUUAAAGUGAUGAGGAACAAUCUAGAUGCUCUAAAUGUUGAUCUGCAGGAGUUUUUUUUAUCCAGUUAUACAAUCUGAUACUUGAAUACCAGCCAGGAAGGUAUGUGCAUUACUGUUAAAUAGCUCUAAAGAAAGCAUAUCCAAGAUAAAUAUCAUCAACAUAUCAGUUAUAGAACAAGAAGUUUAUCUGUUGCUGUGUUUGCCUGCUUUGCUUUGUUGGUUUUUUGUGAUUUUUGUUUAGUAUGCCAUGCAAAGAAGAAUGAUCUUAGGUGAAAUUCAUUAGAUUCUCGUGAGCACUUCAUCAUUGAUAUAGCUUCUUCAGGUUGGGCAUCAAUAUAUGUUUGCUGAUUGGGUUGUUUUUUGGAGUGUAAUAGGAUUAUAUUCUAUAUAAACACUUUAUAGGUUUUCCGGCAUGGUAGCCGGAGAUGUCGCGGUGGUUGAGAUUGAUGCCUGCCACCACCCUCAUGGAGGCGUUUGGCGGUGAGGAGGCGCAGAACACGCCGCUGUAGGAGCGACGUCCGCACCGGUUCAGUUCGCGGUGAAGUUGGACGAAUCAAAGAAAAUGUUGUCCGGAGCAUUCGGCCAACUAGGGAGACGAUAGAUACAAUGCAUUAGCUCCUAGAAUUUUUUCAAAUUCUAUUUGAUUUAAUUAAUUUGAGCAGAAAUUUAGAGAAAUUGUCCUGCUCAUCUUCUUCGUCGUUUCUGGUAUUAUUAUUUCCCAGCGUUUAUAGCUCAGGUUCCUUGGCUAUUUAAGUUGCUAAUUAUUAUUACUAUUAAUAAAAUAGAGAUUUAUGAAUUCA